rnacentral:rRNA from 1 species
UGUUGGUAAGGUAAUGGCUUACCAAGGCCACGAUCAGUAGCUGGUUUGAGAGAACGAUCAGCCACACUGGGACUGAGACACGGCCCAGACUCCUCCGGGAGGCAGCAGUGAGGAAUUUUCCGCAAUGGGCGAAAGCCUGACGGAGCAAUACCGCGUGAGGGAUGAAGGAUUUUGGUCUGUAAACCUCUUUUCUCAAGAAAGAAGUUCUGACGGUACUUGAGGAAUAAGCAUCGGCUAACUCCGUGCCAGCAGCCGCGGUAAUACGGGGGAUGCAAGCGUUAUCCGGAAUCAUUGGGCGUAAAGCGCCUGUAGGUUGUUUAAUAAGUCUGUUGUUAAAGACUAGGGCUCAACCCUAGGAAAGCAAUGGAAACUACUAGACUUGAGUAUGAUAGGGGUAGAGGGAAUUUCUAGUGUAGCGGUGAAAUGCGUAGAUAUUAGGAAGAACACCGGUGGCGAAGGCGCUCUACUGGAUCAUUACUGACACUCAGAGGCGAAAGCUAGGGUAGCAAAAGGGAUUAGAUACCCCUGUAGUCCUAGCCGUAAACGAUGGAUACUAGAUGUUGCGUUUAUUAUGCAGUAUCGUAGCUAACGCGUUAAGUAUCCCGCCUGGGGAGUACGCUCGCAAGGGUGAAACUCAAAGGAAUUGACGGGGGCCCGCACAAGCGGUGGAGCAUGUGGUUUAAUUCGAUGCAACGCGAAGAACCUUACCAGGGCUUGACAUACUACAGAUUCUUUAGAGAUAGAGAAGUGCCUUCGGGAAUGUAGAUACAGGUGGUGCAUGGCUGUCGUCAGCUCGUGUCGUGAGAUGUUGGGUUAAGUCCCGCAACGAGCGCAACCUUUAUUUUUAGUUACCAAUUCGUUGGGUUCUCUAGAAAGACUGCCGGUGACAAACCGGAGGAAGGUGAGGACGACGUCAAGUCAGCAUGCCCCUUAUGUCCUGGGCUACACACGUGCUACAAUGGUUAAGACAAAGAGUUGCGAGCUCGCAAGAGUCAGCUAAUCUCAUAAACUUAGCCUAAGUUCAGAUUGUAGGCUGCAACUCGCCUGCAUGAAGUUGGAAUCGCUAGUAAUCGCUGGUCAGCCAUACAGCGGUGAAUCCGUUCCCGGGCCUUGUACACACCGCCCGUCACACCAUGGGAGCUGGUCAUGCCCGAAACCGUUUGCUUAACCUUUCGGAGAGCGGCGUCUAAGGUAGGGCUAGUGACUGGGGUGAAGUC